GUCAGGAUGGCCGAGCGGUCUAAGGCGCCAGACUCAAGGUAUUACCUUCUCGGUCGAACACCGAGUUUCUGGGCAUUCUGGUCCUCUCUGAGGGCGUGGGUUCGAAUCCCACUUCUGACA
rfam:Trichomalopsis sarcophagae strain Alberta scaffold1667, whole genome shotgun sequence.